rnacentral:lncRNA from 1 species
GUGGAAUAAGUGCUGUAGCCUCAUUGGUCUAGCAGGGGCGGGGGGAGGGGAGCAGCCGGGUUGUUGUUGUUGCUGUUCUUUUGUUUUUGGGAUGAAGGAGAUUUCUCCUGCUAGAUGUAGCCAGUAGGUCAGAGGAGAAUUAAGACGCUGGAAAGCAGCAGGUCGAAGGCCCCAGGCCUUGGGAAGGGGUGGCACAACAGGACUCACAAGGAAACGUACAGGUCAAGUCAGGCCCUUGCCCCUCUGGCUCACUGCUCUGUUCCUGCCCAGAACAGUGCCUAGCACAAAGGGAGUCCUUGUAAAUAUUUGCUGAAUGAGUGCUGAAUCAAGUCUAGUUUUACAAACUUUCUGUAAAAGUUCAGCACAUCUCUAUUUCAUCUCCAGGCCUCAGUGUCACCUCCCUAAGAUGGAGUUAUUUUUUCAAGUGCUCCUAGUGGUCAUUUAGGACCAGGUCAGGCCAGGAGGCCACGUGAGUCUCAAUAGUUAAUGAUCCUGAGCCUCGCUGAGUGAGGCCUGUAAGGAUUGGCACUUGGGGUCGAUGACUUGAGAUCCCAGUUAGUCAUUCUGGCAGCUGCUUCCUGCCUCCCUUCCCUCAUUGCCUUCUGUUUGGGCCUCUCUGUGAUGGUAAGAGGAUAUUGCCUGGACUCAUCAAUAAUUACCACGAGAAGGCAGCUUACACAGCAGCAUGUGUGCUCUCGUCAUUAGACAGAUGAACUGAGUCAGGCCCAGAAGGAAGCGGGACUGACCAAAACCACAUGGCUGCCUGGUAUCAGCUCUCAGUCCAGCCUCAUUCAUGCAAGAAUUUAACAAAUAUUACUGAGCACAUGCUAUGUGUCAGGCACUGUUACAGUGUUGGAGAUACAGCAGUGAGUGAACAGACAAAACCACUGAGGUGGGAGACCAAUCAUCAACGAGAUGAGAAGGUAGAUGGUGAAGGGUGCCAAGGAGAAAGCAGCAAUCCUGGGAAAAAAGGACCAAAACAGGAGGCAUUCAAUCCCUGACUUCAAAGCAUACUACAAAGCUACAGUAAUCAAAACAGCAUGGUACUGGUACAAAAACAGGUGCACAGAUCAAUGGA